rnacentral:tRNA from 1 species
GCGGGUGUAGUUCAAUGGCAGAACAAUAGCUUCCCAAGCUAUGAACGUGGGUUCGAUUCCCAUCACCCGCACCA